rnacentral:piRNA from 1 species
UGGAUGGUUGUGUUCCUCAGGGCUGCCAUA